UUUACCAUAGGGUCUAAGACUGUCAUAAUCUCAUGAGGGAUGUAGAAAGAGUCCUAUGUGAGGACAAUAUGGGCAGAAAUAAUCGGGUCUAAGACUGUCAUAAUCUCAUGAGGGAUGUAGAAAGAGUCCUACGUGAGGACAAUAUGGGCAGAAAUAAUCGGGUCUAAGGCUGUCAUAAUCACAUGAGGGACGUCGAUAGAGUCCCACGUAAGGAUAACAUGGACAGGAAUAACCGUUGAACAUUUUGCACCCUUUAUUUUUAAAAUCUUCUUACUUUUACUUUUAUUUUAA